AUUGAACGCUGGCGGCAGGCCUAACACAUGCAAGUCGAGCGAGCGGCGGACGGGUGAGUACUGUAUGGGGACUGCCCGAUAGAGGGGGAUAACUACUGGAAACGGUGGCUAAUACCGCAUACUAUCGGAUAACCCAUAUGGGAGUAGCUAGUAGGGGGGGUAAAGGCUCACCUAGGCGACGAUCCCUAGCUGGUCUGAGAGGAUGAACAGCCACACGUGGGCUGGGACACUGCGCAGACUCGUACGGAGGCAGCAGUGGGGAAUAUUGCACAGUGGGCGCAAGCCUGAUGCAGCCAUGCCGCGUGUAUGAGUAGGGCCUUAGGGUUGUAAAGUACUUUCAGCGGGGAGGCGUUACCCGCAGAAGAAGCACCGGCUAACUCCUUGCCAGCAGCCGCGGUAAUAC
rnacentral:rRNA from 1 species